GACGAACGCUGGCGGCGUGCUUAACACAUGCAAGUCGAACGGAAAGGCCCUGCUUUUGUGGGGUGCUCGAGUGGCGAACGGGUGAGUAACACGUGAGUAACCUGCCCUUGACUUUGGGAUAACUUCAGGAAACUGCGGCUAAUACCGGAUAGGAGAUCCUGCUGCACGGUGGGGGUUGGAAAGUGUCGGCGGUUGGGGAUGGACUCGCGGCUUAUGAGCUAGUUGGUGGGGUAGUGGCUUUCCAAGGUUUUGACGGGUAGCCGGCCUGGGAGGGUGACCAGGGACCAGGGGACUACGAGAGGCAGCAGAAGCCAACGGGAGGCAGCAGUCGGGAAUCUUGCACAACAGGCGGAAGCGUGAUGCGACGGCGUUGCGUGCGGGAUGCCGGCUUUCGGGUUGUAAACCAAUUUCGACUUAGACGAAGCGUGAGUGACGGUAAUUGGUAAAGAAGCACCGGCUAACUACGUG
rnacentral:rRNA from 1 species